UGAGUAGCGUGCCCUCAUAUUCUCCUCU
rnacentral:piRNA from 1 species